rnacentral:lncRNA from 1 species
ACUUCUAAUUUUUUUAUUUAUUCAAAUACACAACGGAAAUUACAUAUUGUAAUUAUAAACAAACAUUUUUAUCAAAACACUUACAGCUGAUUUGUAAAUAUUCUAAAUGCAAAUACAUAUAAUAUGGAUCAGUUAAUAAUUAAGUCACGUUUUCUACAUUUUUUUAUUUAGGUUGUUUGUUCCCUUUAUUUUGAAACACAUACGGUGUGAGAAGAAUUGUUGUUAUACAAAAUUUCAGGCAUAAUUGGGGUUUUUUCUGAACGAAAAUGAAUGCAUUAAAACUUGGUAAUGGUUGGGUUUCUUAUAAAUCUUUGAAGACUAUGAAAAUUUCUAGGACUGAAAUGUUUAUCUAUGAAGUUUUUUCUAAACAAUGCUGUAUUAUAAUGAUAAAUAUAUGGUAAAAGGUUACUUUUCAUUUUAUCCAUCAAUGCACUAAAUAUUAAAUUACCAAGCACUUAACUUCUUAAUGCUAAUUUCAAUGAAAAAAGGUAACGAACGCAUGUCAAAUUAUGUCUAAAUUACCUGCCCUUUUCCCUCCAUUACAUUUCUGUGUAGAUGUACCAACAUGAAAUGAUGGGGGUUGGAAGGAAUUUCAGUUAAAUCUUAAUGGAUUUUUUUGUUUUUUUGAAAAGUUUAUACUAAACAAUAAGGUGAAAGAAUUCAAUUUAAAUCCAUAUAUGUUGGGAUUGCAUGAACAAUGCAAUCUGACUAGCCCCCCCCCCAACACCUCAUCCCUUUUUACCUUUAUUUGUAACCCUCCAAAACCCAAACAACAUGAUCUGCAUGAUAGACCAAAACAUCAUCUGACAACAAUUAUUUUUCACAACUCUUAAGAUAAAAUUGUAUAAAAAUGUAUUUAAGUAAAAGACAAAAAUUGAAUAUAAAUAUACAAUCAAUGAAGGCACAAUUCAUCUUUAACAAUGCUGUAUAACAUUUCUUGAUAUUUAACCAAUUUACUUAAUGGCUGUUUCCUUUAUUGGAAGACUUUAAAAUUACAAAUAUUAAAAACGUAGAUAUGUAUGAAUUUUUAACCAAGGUGUUAAGUACAUUUAAAAAAUCAUAUGUAAAGUAUGUUUUAAAAUAAAACGCAGGUGGGCACAAUAAAAUAAAUGUAAUAAUGUUCAUUUAACCACAAAAGUCAUAAAAAUAUUCAUAUAUUUGUAAAAACAUCACAAUUACAUAACAUUGUAUUUUCAUUAUCAAAAGAAAUAGAAAUACAACUGACAUUACUUGAGGCAUGUUUAUAUCAUUCAACAUGCUAUAUAGAUAAUAAUAAAGUAUAAGGGACUCGAAAAACUGACCAAGAAAUUCAUAAUUCUUUAUCCUGGAACAUAUGUCUAUUGGAGGACAAUGUCUGAGAUACAAUGCAAUGAAAAAGAGCAUCUUAUAAAAAGAUAUAGGUCCAGUGUGUGAAGAUGUGCUUACAAAAACAUAACAAAAAAUGAUGGAUUUUUUUCAGACAAAAUAACAAAAUACCCCGUUGGUUUAAUUCCCAAUCCUGAAGAUAAUACAAUUACUUAGAAGCACCACUCAAAAGAGAAAUUUGUUAUAUUUUCAAAAGAUUUUGAUGAUUUAGAACACAUUAAAGAGGUAAUGUUACUCAUAAAAUAUUAAAUAAAGUUUAAAAACUAUCAGACCAAAUAAACAUGUAACACAACCAAAUGAAAAAACAAAACAAACCAAAUACAUUGCCUAUGUAUUGAAAUCUGAAAAUAAGACUUAUAUUGCAACAGAAUUAAAUAAAAUGGAUGAUGUGAAAUGAAAACAUAGCAGUGCAAUAAAACAGCUUCAGAUCUAUAGAACAUACAACUAACAAUUGUGCUAAUCCUUCAAUUAUUAUAGUUAACUUUUAAAAAGAUAUUAACAAACAAUUUUUCAUGGAAACCUAUAAAAAAAAA